GAAAGAAGAAAACAAGACACACAGAUGCGAAAAGAACCAGUCAGAUGCAAAGGAGCUGGUUGAAUGUUAACCCUGACAACAGCAAGUGCUCCUCAAAGUUCCACGUCAUCAAAAGAAGUGGGAAGAUGGUGCAAAGGAAGAACUCUGGUCUGAACCCUCAUGUAUCCUCCUUCAUUAAAGGGAUAGUUCACC